ensembl:lncRNA MUC20-OT1 MUC20 overlapping transcript
AACCUUUGCUGUCUUGGGACGGAUCACCGCUGCAAGAGGGGAAGUUGCUACUGUGAUGAAUUCUGCCAUGUGGCACCAGACUGCCACCCAGACCACAGUGUCCUCUGCAACCCUGCUUCUCAGAUGACCAAGAUGGUGCUGCAGAUGGUGCUGAGGAUGGAGAACCCACCAAGCCCCGCUAGGAGCCACCUAGACUGGAUGCAGAGCAUGAUUUGAAGAUUGUACCAGGAGAGCCGCAGUGUUCCAGAGCUACUGAGGGGCUGGGCUGGGAUUUGCUGUAUUCGAGAAGACCCCCUUGGACCCGAGAGGCUGUGGGCUUGGGGAGCAUGAGGAGGUUUCACAGCAGAAAGGACACCCCGGGGCUCCUGGAUAAGCCAGAAAAUGUGCCAGGGGAAGUCGGGCUCCAAGGGCACCACUCUGGGCUUCCAGCUGUGUGGGCUGGACCAAGAAGGCUCAAAGAAAUGAUCUCAGGCUUGAAGUGGGGAGAAGAAACUGUAUUAUGAAGGCAGACGAACAGUUCCUGCAAAAGCCCCAGCACCCGCAGAGCAGACACUGCGAUGACAACGGACGACACAGAAGUGCCCGCUAUGACUCUAGCACCGGGCCACGCCGCUCUGGAAACUCAAACGCUGAGCGCUGAGACCUCUUC